GACGAACGCUGGCGGCGUGCUUAACACAUGCAAGUCGAGCGGUAAGGCCCUUCGGGUACGACGAGCGGCGAACGGGUGAGUAACACGUGGGUGACCUGCCCUCCACUUCGGGAUAAGCCUGGGAAACCGGGUCUAAUACCGGAUAGGACCUCUGGAUGCAUGUCUGGUGGUGGAUAGUCUGUGUCUUGACUGAUGCUGGCGGUGGGGGAGUGGGCCCGCGGUCUAUCAGCNGUUGGUGGGGUGGAUGGCCCACCAAGGCGACGACGGAUGGCCGGCCUGAGAGGGUGGUCCGGCCACACUGGGACUGAGACACGGCCCA
rnacentral:rRNA from 1 species